rnacentral:rRNA from 1 species
CACGUAGGGCGCGAGCGUUGUCCGGAAUUAUUGGGCGUAAAGAGCUCGUAGGCGGUUUGUCGCGUCUGCUGUGAAAAACCCGAGGCUCAACCUCGGGCCUGCAGUGGGUACGGGGCAGACUAGAGUGCGGUAGGGGGAGAUUGGAAUUCCUGGUGUAGCGGUGGAAUGCGCAGAUAUCAGGAGGAACACCAAUGGCGAAGGCAGAUCUCUGGGCCGUAACUGACGCUGAGGAGCGAAAGCAUGGGGAGCGAACAGG